rnacentral:rRNA from 1 species
GACCAGACUCCUACGGGAGGCAGCAGUGGGGAAUAUUGCACAAUGGGGGAAACCCUGAUGCAGCGACGCCGCGUGAGCGAUGAAGUAUUUCGGUAUGUAAAGCUCUAUCAGCAGGGAAGAAAAUGACGGUACCUGACUAAGAAGCCCCGGCUAACUACGUGCCAGCAGCCGCGGUAAUACGUAGGGGGCAAGCGUUAUCCGGAUUUACUGGGUGUAAAGGGAGCGUAGACGGCGAUGCAAGCCAGAUGUGAAAGCCCGGGGCUCAACCCCGGGACUGCAUUUGGAACUGUGUGGCUGGAGUGUCGGAGAGGCAGGCGGAAUUCCUAGUGUAGCGGUGAAAUGCGUAGAUAUUAGGAGGAACACCAGUGGCGAAGGCGGCCUGCUGGACGAUGACUGACGUUGAGGCUCGAAAGCGUGGGGAGCAAACAGGAUUAGAUACCCCGGUACC